rnacentral:misc_RNA from 1 species
CAUUUCCAUACUAGAUUAAAACACUUCUCUCCAAAAUCAGCCAUGCACUUCUUCUCAAAGAGACCCAAACUCACCAGUGCCACGGCCAACGGCUUUUCUUCUUCGCCACUUUCACUGCCUCGCCUUACCCAAGAACAAGAACUCGUCAUCAUGGUCGCUGCUCUAAAAAAUGUUGUCUCCGGCGGAGCCACUACUAGUAGCACUACUGCCACAUUAACAGAUUUCUCGCAGGAGUUGUUUAGCCUUCAGUUUUCUACUACUACUUCUGUUACUUCAUCGCACUUUAGCACCAAUUCUUCCGCCAAUACUGUUACCACUGGUUUUGCCAACCCAUUGUUACUGCCACCAUUGGAUCUUGACACAUGCAAUGUUUGCAAGAUCAACGGAUGCUUAGGAUGCAACUUUUUCCCACCAAAUAAUCAAGAGGAAAAGAAAGUGACACGAAAACGAGCGAAGAAAAAUUAUAGAGGAGUAAGGCAGAGGCCGUGGGGCAAAUGGGCAGCGGAAAUCAGGGAUCCACGGCGGAAGACGCGGGUGUGGCUAGGAACUUUUAACACGGCAGAGGAAGCUGCUAGAGCUUAUGAUAAGGCGGCGAUAGAUUUUCGAGGGCCGAGAGCGAAGCUCAAUUUUCCAUUUCCUGACAACGUUAGCAAUACUACAAAUUUGGAAGAGAAAAGCACUCAAGAUCAAGAGGAAGAACAGAAAGAAAAUUCUGGGAAAAGAAGAGAAUUUGAAGUGGAAAUGGAACUGGGUAAGGAAUGUGAAUUCUGGGAAAAUAUUGGAGAUGAUGAAAUUCAACAAUGGAUGACGAUGAUGGAUUUUGGUGGGAGUUCUUCAGAUUCAGCUGGUACUGC